UAACUUAUUUGUGAUUUCAGUUAUAACUUAUAAGAAUUCAAUUUUGAAUUUUAAAAAUAAUACAAUUCGAAGAAAAUGAAUAAAACAUAAAUGGUAAUUGAAUUCAGAGAAGGCGUUUAUGAAGGUGGCCAGUAUCGAUAAAAAAAUAUCGAUCGGCACUUUUUGCAUAUAAAGCUGUAAUACAAGCAACUCGCGUUGAACGUAUUCUUAGAACAUGUGAAGUAUAAAUAGACUGGAAAGAGUUUUUUUCGCACAUGGUUUGCAUUCGAACAUCGGAAGUUCAAAAUAUUGUAUCCACUAAUUCCACUAUACCCGAUACCGGAACAUCGAGAUAAUUUAUUCACAUUUUACCUAAUAGUUGGCGUACCUAUGCAUGGCUCAAUGGUUGUUAAGAUGUGGAGGUUCGGAGUUACGAAGUCAGUAAGGACGCGACUUGUGGACUACGAUGGUUGAAUUAAGCUGCAAUAAGACGAUUCGCCGAAAUAGAACGUGUCGUCGUGCACGAUAUUAUAUUUUAACCUCCCUUAUUCGCCUUCAAAUCAAAAUUAUAAAAUGCCGAUAAGCCGUAAGCCCAUAAGUCACCCGGGCGGCCAACGCGUUCGUUUCUCUCCUCGUCGCGCCGCUCGCACGGCAGCACACCUGACCUACACGUAAUCGCCGCAAAUACCACGUGUUACCACGGUGCGCGGCGUCGACGAGACGGUGUUGCCGCGUUCGGACGAUAUAAAAUUAUCAGUCGUCGUGGAAAAAAAAAUCUAAACUCCGACAAAAUAGCGCAAAAUAUCAUUAUUAUUAUUAUUGUCGAACAGAGCACAUUUUACCACUAAUAUUAUUAUUAUAUAGUUGUGGUUUUGGCGUUGUUCGUCGUUUUAGUGUCAAUUUUUUAUUCCCAGUCCGUCGUCCGAGUCCCAACGCCGCCGCCGCCGCCGCCGAGCCGGCGUCUACGCAGUGCGUAAGCGCCGGCGGGCAGACGGACCGGCCGGCCGGCAACCAGAAACUACGCAGCAGCGAUUGCGCACGCACCGG